AGACUAUCCUGAGGUCCAACUGGCAACACACUGAACCCACAAAAAUAAAAGAGAAGAAAAGGCAGUCCAGAGCAUGUGGGUGGCACAGGAGGGGAGGAAACACUCAGCUGUAUCAUCCAACCAGUAAAUGAACACUCCGUGUGUUAUCCAUUAAACGAGGUUCAACUGGGAUAAGAUAGCCUACACUCUGAGUCUCAUUGCUAUUCUGGCUCCUGACUUGACAUUUCUCUCAUUCGUUCCAG